GACGAACGCUGGCGGCGUGGAUUAGGCAUGCAAGUCGAACGGUAUCAUCCUUUCGGGGGUGAGAGAGUGGCGAACUGGUGAGUAACACGUAGGUUAUCUACCCUCAAGACGGGGACAACCCAGGGAAACUUGGGCUAAUACCGGAUGUGAGCAACUUUUAGUUGUUUGAAAGGUGGCGUAAGCUGUCGCUUGGGGAUGAGCCUGCGUCCUAUUAGUUAGUUGGUAGAGGUAACGGCUCACCUAGGCAAUGAUAGGUAGGCGGCCUUAACGGGUGGUCGCCCACACUGGGAUUGAGAUACGGCCCAGACUCCUACGGGAGGCAGCAGUCGAGAAUAGUCUACAAUGGUCGGAAGACUGAUAGUGCGACGCCGCGUGAACGAUGAAUCCCUUCGGGGUGUAAAGUUCUUUUAUAUGUGAGCAGUGCUUCUUAUAUUAACAGUAUGGGGAGAGAGAUAUUAGCAUAUGAAUAAGCAACGGCUAACUCCGUGCCAGCAGCCGCGGUAAACUCG
rnacentral:rRNA from 1 species